rnacentral:rRNA from 1 species
GAUGAACGCUGGCGGCGUGCCUAAUACAUGCAAGUCAAGCGAACAGGCGAGGAGCUUGCUCCUCUGACGUUAGCGGCGGACGGGUGAGUAACACGUGGAUAACCUACCUAUAAGACUGGGAUAACUUCGGGAAACCGGAGCUAAUACCGGAUAAUAUAUUGAACCGCAUGGUUCAAUAGUGAAAGACGGUUUUGCUGUCACUUAUAGAUGGAUCCGCGCCGCAUUAGCUAGUUGGUAAGGUAACGGCUUACCAAGGCAACGAUGCGUAGCCGACCUGAGAGGGUGAUCGGCCACACUGGAACUGAGACACGGUCCAGACUCCUACGGGAGGCAGCAGUAGGGAAUCUUCCGCAAUGGGCGAAAGCCUGACGGAGCAACGCCGCGUGAGUGAUGAAGGUCUUCGGAUCGUAAAACUCUGUUAUUAGGGAAGAACAAAUGUGUAAGUAACUAUGCACGUCUUGACGGUACCUAAUCAGAAAGCCACGGCUAACUACGUG